rnacentral:rRNA from 1 species
GAUGAACGCUGGCGGCAGGCCUAACACAUGCAAGUCGAGCGGAGCGGCCGACGGGCGGGUGAUGACUAGGAAUGUGCCUGGUAGUUGGGGAUAGCGAACUGAUGCAGGCGCUAAUUCCUCAUACUAUCAGAUGAGCCUAGGUGGGAUUAGCUAGUUGGUGGGGUAACGGCCUACCAAGGCGACGAUCCGUAACUGGUCUGAGAGGAUGAUCAGUCACACUGGAACUGAGACACGGUCCAGACUCCUACGGGAGGCAGCAGUGGGGAAUAUUGCACAAUGGGCGCAAGCCUGAUGCAGCCAUGCCGCGUGUGUGAAGAAGGUCUUCGGGUUGUAAAGCACUUUCAGCUGGGAGGCGUUACCCACAGAAGAAGCACCGGCUAACUCCGUGCCAGCAGCCGCGGUAAUAC